GACGAACGCUGGCGGCGUGCUUAACACAUGCAAGUCGAACGUGAUUUUUGUGGAAAUUCUUUCGGGAAUGGAAGUGAAAUGAAAGUGGCGAACGGGUGAGUAACACGUGAGCAACCUACCUUACACAGGGGGAUAGCCGUUGGAAACGACGAUUAAUACCGCAUGAGACCACAGAAUCGCAUGAUAUAGGGGUCAAAGAUUUAUCGGUGUAAGAAGGGCUCGCGUCUGAUUAGCUAGUUGGAAGGGUAAAGGCCUACCAAGGCGACGAUCAGUAGCCGGUCUGAGAGGAUGAACGGCCACAUUGGAACUGAGACACGGUCCAAACUCCUACGGGAGGCAGCAGUGGGGAAUAUUGCACAAUGGGGGGAACCCUGAUGCAGCGACGCCGCGUGAGCGAAGAAGGUUUUCGAAUCGUAAAGCUCUGUCCUAUGAGAAGAUAAUGACGGUAUCAUAGGAGGAAGCCCCGGCUAAAUACGUGCCAGCAGCCGCGGUAAUACGUAUGGGGCGAGCGUUGUCCGGAAUUAUUGGGCGUAAAGGGUACGUAGGCGGCCUUUUAAGUCAGGUGUGAAAGCGUGAGGCUUAACCUCAUUAAGCACUUGAAACUGGAAGACUUGAGUGAAGGAGAGGAAAGUGGAAUUCCUAGUGUAGCGGUGAAAUGCGUAGAUAUUAGGAGGAAUACCGGUGGCGAAAGGCGACUUUCUGGACUUUUACUGACGCUCAGGUACGAAAGCGUGGGGAGCAAACAUG
rnacentral:rRNA from 1 species